AGAACGAACGCUGGCGGCGUGGAUAAGACAUGCAAGUCGAACGGGACUACUUUUGGUAGCAAUACCAGAAGUAGUUUAGUGGCGAACGGGUGUGUAACACGUGGGGAAUCUGCCGAGAAGUGGGGGAUAGCUCGCCGAAAGGCGAAUUAAUACCGCAUAUGGUCAGGGAAGACAUCUUCCCAACACCAAAAGCCGGGGCAACCUGGCGCUUCUUGAUGACCCCCGCGGCCUAUCAGCUAGUUGGUGAGGUAACGGCUCACCAAGGCUAUGACGGGUAGCUGGUCUGAGAGGACGACCAGUCACACUGGAACUGAGACACGGUCCAGACACCUACGGGUGGCAGCAGUCGAGAAUUUUUCUCAAUGGGGGCAACCCUGAAGGAGCGACGCCGCGUGGAGGAUGAAGGCUUUCGGUUGUAAACUCCUGUCAUUUGGAACAAGCUGUGCGCGUUAACUGCGCGCACACUGAUAGUACCAGAAGAGGAAGAGACGGCUAACGUCU
rnacentral:rRNA from 1 species